rnacentral:tRNA from 1 species
UGCGGGGUGGUGUAAUUGGUAACACACCUGCCUUUGGAGCAGGUGAUUGUAGGUUCGAGGCCUACCCCCGCAG